rnacentral:rRNA from 1 species
GACGAACGCUGGCGGCGUGCUUAACACAUGCAAGUCGAACGGAAAGGCCCUGCUUUUGUGGGGUGCUCGAGUGGCGAACGGGUGAGUAACACGUGAGUAACCUGCCCUUGACUUUGGGGUAACUUCAGGAAACUGGGGCUAAUACCGGAUAGGAGCUCCUGCUGCAUGGUGGGGGUUGGAAAGUUUCGGCGGUUGGGGAUGGACUCGCGGCUUAUCAGCUUGUUGGUGGGGUAGUGGCUUACCAAGGCUUUGACGGGUAGCCGGCCUGAGAGGGUGACCGGCCAAAUUGGGACUGGGAUACGGCCCAGACUCCUAGGGGGGGCAGCGGGGGGGAAUAUUGCAAAAGGGGGGGAAGCCUGAUGCAGCAACGCCGGGGGCGGGAUGGCGGCCUUCGGGUUGUAAACCGCUUUCGCCUGUGACGAAGCGUGGGUGACGGUAAUGGGUAAAGGAACACCGGCUAACUACGU